GAAUUGACGGGGGCCCGCACAAGCAGCGGAGCAUGUGGUUUAAUUCGAAGCAACGCGAAGAACCUUACCAGGGCUUGACAUGUAUCUGACAGAGAGCUAACCCUCUCCUUCUUCGGACAGAUACACAGGUGGUGCAUGGUUGUCGUCAGCUCGUGUCGUGAGAUGUUGGGUUAAGUCCCGCAACGAGCGCAACCCUUGUCUUUAGUUGCCAUCAUCAAGUUGGGCACUCUAGAGAGACUGCCGGGGACAACUCGGAGGAAGGUGGGGAUGACGUCAAGUCAUCAUGCCCCUUAUGACCUGGGCUACACACGUGCUACAAUGGCCGGUACAGAGCGCAGCGAGCCCGCGAGGGUAAGCGAAUCGCAUAAAACCGGUCUCAGUUCAGAUCGGAGGCUGCAACCCGCCUCCGUGAAGUCGGAAUCGCUAGUAAUCUCGGGUCAGCAUACCGAGGUGAAUGCGUUCCCGGGCCUUGUACACACCG
rnacentral:rRNA from 1 species